GACGAACGCUGGCGGCGUGCUUAACACAUGCAAGUCGAACGGAAAGGCCCUGCUUUUGUGGGGUGCUCGAGUGGCGAACGGGUGAGUAACACGUGAGUAACCUGCCCUUGACUUUGGGAUAACUUCAGGAAACUGGGGCUAAUACCGGAUAGGAGCUCCUGCUGCAUGGUGGGGGUUGGAAAGUUUCGGCGGUUGGGGAUGGACUCGCGGCUUAGCAGCUUGUUGGUGGGGUAGUGGCUUACCAAGGCUUUGACGGGUAGCCGGCCUGGGAGGGUGACCGGCCACAUUGGGACUGAGAGACGGCCCAGACUCCUACGGGAGGCAGCAGUGGGGAAUAUUGCACAAUGGGCGGAAGCCUGAUGCAGCAACGCCGCGUGCGGGAUGACGGCCUUCGGGUUGUAAACCGCUUUCGCCUGUGACGAAGCGUGAGUGACGGUAAUGGGUAAAGAAGCACCGGCUAACUACGUG
rnacentral:rRNA from 1 species